AAACUGAUCUCCCAGUACAAAAGCUGGGAUAUGAACACAAGACGAAAAGACCCUGUGGAACUUAAAGUUUAUGACCACAUAUAUGGCCAGCCACUUUUAGUUGGGGCAACUUUGGAAAAAAACAAAACUUCCAAUAACAACAAAGGCAGACAUGCCAACCAUGCAACCACACCAGACCCAGUAUUACUGAAUAAAGAAAAAAGCUACCCCAGGGAUAACAGCGCCAUCCCCUCAUAGAGCCCCCAUCGACGAGCGGGGUUUACGACCUCGAUGUUGGAUCAGGGCCCCCAAGCAGUGCAGCAGCUGCUAAAGGUUUGUUUGUUCGAACAAUUAAUGCCCGAUACGUGANCUGAG
rnacentral:rRNA from 1 species